UUUAUCUGAACGUUAUAAUGAGAUAUCUACCAUUAAAGAUUAAUCGUACAUAAUACGUGAAGAUAGAGUCUAGUGUUAGUGUGUGUGUAAAUCGCCAACAAAAGAGGAGCGUAUUCCCCAGAGUAUACCAGAAAUUGAUAUUUUUCCUUACGUAGAAGGAAGUGGUUGUUGGCGGGUCCGGGUUCUGGACCGGAGUAUAUAAGGUGUGGCGCCUCACUAGGACAGCACAGUCUUGUUGAAGCAGUCAGCUUGACCAUUCCUCCACCAGCAACAUGAAGGUUCUGUGUUUAGUGUUCGCCGUGGUGGUGGCCCUCGCUGCCCUGAUGGGGUCUGCCCGAGCUAUGCCUGAACCCUACCCCUUCGCUGACCCUGACCCUUUUCCUCUAGCUGACCCUCUGGCUGACCCUCUGGCAAGCCACUUUUAUGGAUAUGGCUAUCGCCCAAGACGUAGGUACGGCUAUGGCCAUGGUCAUUGGUAAGCUGGUACUCGUCGUCCUCCCAGACUCAAGACUCCGCCAGAUAAUGGAACAACCGCAAGAUUUACCCAUAAAUUUAUAAAACGCAGGAGAUAAAACCAUUAAAAUAUUAAAUUAUAAUGGUAAAUUUGGAGAAGGAUUAUUACCAAGAGUUAAUGUCCUGCAGCGAACUCCGUCAACUACAAGAGCUCAACCGGCGCCUCACAACUAACCUCCAUCACCUGCCUUCAACACUUCCAACAUCCACCAACUUCAGUCCCUGAUUCUUCGUGGGUGUUAGACUCUAACCAAUUGGCUUCUGUGUAGUUAAUAAAUAUGACAACUGUGUAUGAAGAGCAAAUAAACAUAACUUGAUGAA